CAGCUGUAAACUAUGUGCGUUAGGUGUGUCAGUGACCACGUGUCACUGAGGUGCCGAAGGGAAACCGUGAAACGCACCGCCUGGGGAGUACGGUCGCAAGGCUGAAACUUAAGGGAAUUGGCGGGGGAGCACCACAACGGGUGGAGCCUGCGGUUUAAUUGGAUUCAACGUCGGAAAUCUUACCGGGACCGACAGCAACAUGAAGGCCAAGCUGAAGACUUUGCCGGAUUAGCUGAGAGGAGGUGCAUGGCGUAGUCGUGU
rnacentral:rRNA from 1 species